rnacentral:rRNA from 1 species
GACGGAAGGUGCAAGCGUUGUUCGGAAUUACUGGGCGUAAAGGGCUCGUAGGCGGCCAACUAAGUCGGACGUGAAAUCCCCAGGCUCAACCUGGGAACUGCGUCCGAUACUGGAUGGCUUGAAUCCGGGAGAGGGAUGCAGAAUUCCAGGUGUAGCGGUGAAAUGCGUAGAUAUCUGGAGGAAUACCGGUGGCGAAGGCGGCAUCCUGGACCGGCAUUGACGCUGAGGAGCGAAAGCCAGGGGAGCAAACGGG